GGCAGGCAGACUCAGCUCUUAGGUUCGGUUGCCCAGUAACCAGAGGAUGCACAGAUUUCCAUUUUUACCUUCUUUCUGAUUCAGGAAAGUCUUUUUUUUUUUUUUUUUUUUAAUUCCUUUUUAAACAGAAGGAUUAAAGAACAACACCCCACCCCACCCCACCCUCGCCCUCCACAUUAAGGUCGAACCAAUCCCUUUCACCUGUUGGUGGCUAAAGUGUUUGAAAGGACCCCUGUUUUAAAACAGGUACGCUGUUAGGAAAUCGUCGGGGCAACGUCGGGAUGCAGACAGAGGGUGGUAAGUUCUGCAAAUUUGAGAGUGGUGGUGCUGCUGCCCUAUUCUUGCUUCGCUGUUCAAUGUCACAGCUCUGGGCUUUCCCUUCCCUGGAUCAUCAACAUUUGCAGCGAAGUAAAGGAACAAGAGAGCACCAUUCAACACCAUGCCUCAAGCCAAGGACUUCUAAAGGUCAGGGAGAACCAGCCAGCGUCUUCCUGGCUCCUGUGCCCGGCGUCCCACAAGAUGACCAGGAAUUUCUCAGUCCUGACCCCCCAGUGGGAGUCCUGUUUCCGCCAAGGAGGAGGAGAAGGAACACGGCACCGUGGGAAGACAGGUAGAAAGCCCUCUGAAGUCCCAUGUUUGGAUCCUGAUUCUGUGUGUCAAAGGCAUUUUUAGGAUGCUUUUUGUGAUUUGUUCAAAUAAAAAUCAGAACACACCACAAUACUCUCAGUUGGUUUACCAAUAAGGUAACUAAUGGCUCAUUUCACAUAACGGAUCUUCCAGAAGUGAGGAGGCCUUUGGAGGCGAUGGGAUGCCACUGAGCAGGUAUAUCCUGCCACCCUCCAUUCUUCUACCUUUGUCUACGGGUCAUCGGCAGACCAGCAGUUAGACGGCCGUGGCGUUCGCACAUCUGGCGUUCACAUACAGCAACCACCAGGGGAAGAGAGAGACUGUGUGUCUUUCAGUUCUUUCUCAGGAAUCACAUAGCCUUUUUUCAGGAGGCCCGUGGCAGACAUCCCCACAGAACUGGACAGAAUUGCGUGGAGAGCCUGACUGCCGGCAAGGGAAAUGCAUCAUCGCAAACCUACCAGGUGUCCCCUGGACAUGGAGCUGGGACCAGCUUCCCAGAAGACCCACCUGUGUACAAAAUCUUGGCUUUGGGGCGAAAAAGGUGGAAAUGGAUGCUGGGUAGGAAAGCUCUGUGUUUGCAUUAUGGGGUCCCUUGAGAGCUGGGUGACAGGAGCCUGGAGUUCCAGCCCUAUGUACUUUCGAGUUUCCGCUUAGGGCCUGCCAGGUGGGAAUAGUAAUGUUUUGCCCACUGGAUCUCUCUGUAUGGCAGCUGAAAUUGUAUCUAUGAAAGAACCAUGGAAAGUGGUGUCUUUAUUGUCAGAUCUCUUUAGCUCACCCAGACAUCCUAAUGAGUUUACUGUUCAGUAAUGGUUUUAAGUGUGUUAGUCAAAUUUCCAGUAAGCAUUUAUUGUUCUGUGAUCUAGAUUUGCUAGAAUAUUGGGCCCAUAAUAUGUUCUAUAAUUUUUAGUUGUUGG
rnacentral:lncRNA from 1 species